rnacentral:tRNA from 1 species
GGAGGGGUGGCCGAGUGGCUGAAGGCGGCGGUUUGCUAAACCGUUAUAGGGGUAGUACCUCUAUCGAGGGUUCGAAUCCCUCUCCCUCCGCCA